GUCACGUGCCCUAAAUCCCCAAGUAAAAGUUUGUACUUAAUUCUUUUUCCUUUUACUCUAAAAAUUUACCCCCAAAUUUCCCAUUUCCAACAACACCAAAUGUCUGAGGACGACGAGAGGCAGCAAUCUUCGCCGUCGAAUCUUCUUCCCUAAUAGAAAAACUAUAAACUCUUUUUUGCGUGUGUAUGAACUAAAUUUUUUUGUCAAUAAAUGAAAUUCUUUGAAGAUAAUACAAUCUUUUAUAAAAAUUUAUUUCCGAAUUAGGGCUCUUGAUUUCUUUCUCUGUCUACAAAUUGGUCGAAUUUUAUUUUUGUUUUUAUUUGAAGUUGAAGGAAAAGCAUAGCAUUUGGCGUACAAGUGAUAACUCACAAUUUUCUUAUGUAUUUAGUUCCCUACUUUUUUAAGCCAACCAUUUUGCUUCAGAAUCUCAUUGCGUUGGGAACCUUUUCAAAGUUCUUACGCUUUUUUGGCGUCUGAUAUUUGCCCAGCCAAGUCAGUAUAUCAAUACCCUUUUGGUGCCCAAAGGUGGUGAAAUUCCCAUAGACAUCCAAAUUUUAUCUUCACAAGGAAUCUUUGACGUGUUUUCAGGGACAGUUGCUCUCACUACAGCUUGAAUACCAGGAAAUGCAAGGUCAUUGUUAACUCCAUACAUGACCCAAAAGUGGGCACAAUUUUUGAUCCAGUCUCAUUGAUAAAUGCUCUUGGCAAUGUGUUUGGGGUGGAAUUGAGCAAAGGCUUCAGAACUGUGAUUUCGAGUUGAGUUAUGCAUUGGCUUUCUCAAACGUUCUCGCCAGCAAAAGGAAAUUACAAGGGAACAAGCAGUUCAAGAUCUGAAGUUUGUUGAGAAGGAUUAUAAGUUAGCUGAUACGGUUAUUAGAGGGUUGUUGAAGUAUUGGCCUUUGACUAAUUGUCAGAAGGAAGUUCUCUUCCUCGGGGAACUUGAGGAAGUACUUGAAGCAACACAGUCUGUGGAGUUCCAACGAUGUAUGGUUCCGCUUUUCAGACAGAUUGCACGUUGCCUCAAUAGCUUACAUUUCCAGCGUAUAACUAUUCCUGAAAUUCUACAAGAUGAAUGGUUCAAGAAAGGGUACAAGCCACCAAAAUUUGAGCAAGAUGAGGAUGUAAAUCUUGAUGAUAAUAUCUUAUAUUUUACAUGGUUAUGAUUUAAGUCCUUAUUUCAUUGAUAUAUUUAUAUUUAAUCUAAUUUUUAUUAUUUAUUUUAGUUUUGAUUCUAAA